CUGUUCUCAUGUCAUUAUUUUUCAGGUGUCAGAAGAGCGACUGAUGACUCUGUGGAUCCGUCAUCCAGAGCUGGGACCAACUCAUUGUUUUGCGAGUCACAAGUAAAUCUUGAGUCUCUGCAUUCAAGUCCCGAGUCAAGACAGACAAGUCCAAGUCAAGUAGAGCAGACAGAUGAUGUGACUUAUACUGAAGUUACUGCGUUCAGUAAAAACAGAGCCAAAAAGAACAAGGUUCACUGUGAUGAUAAAGUGACUUACGCUUCCAUCGGAGGAGCAAAAUCUGGAGCUCAGGAAGACUGCAGUCAACUUUACGCUUCUGUGACCAAGAACCAUCACAAAUCAGGAAAAUUAUCAUACAAUCAUCACACCAGCAACAGCUUGAUCUGCUGUGUUUUCACUGAUGUUUAG
rnacentral:lncRNA from 1 species